rnacentral:rRNA from 1 species
AUACGGAGGGUGCAAGCGUUAUCCGGAAUCAUUGGGUUCAAAGGGUCCGUAGGCGGACUAUUAAGUCAGAGGUGAAAUCCCACAGCUCAACUGUGGAACUGCCUUUGAUACUGGUAGUCUUGAGUUAUAUGGAAGUAGAUAGAAUGUGUAGUGUAGCGGUGAAAUGCAUAGAUAUUACACAGAAUACCGAUUGCGAAGGCAGUCUACUACGUAUAUACUGACGCUAAGGGACGAAAGCGUGGGGAGCGAACAGGAUUAGAAACCCUAGUAGUCC